rnacentral:piRNA from 1 species
UGGUGGGAAAGCCUAAAGGAGACAGCA